UACGGGGGGAGCAAGCGUUGUUCGGAUUUACUGGCGUAAAGGGCGCGUAGGCGGCCACCGCAAGUCGACUGUGAAAUCUCCGGGCUUAACCCGGAACGGUCAGCCGAUACUGCGGGGCUAGAGUGCAGAAGGGGCAACUGGAAUUCUCGGUGUAGCGGUGAAAUGCGUAGAUAUCGAGAGGAACACCUGCGGCGAAGGCGGGUUGCUGGGCUGACACCGACGCUGAUGUGCGAAAGCUAGGGGAGCGAACGGG
rnacentral:rRNA from 1 species